CACGUAGGGGCGCAAGCGUUUGUCCGGGAAUUAUUGGGCGUAAAGAGCUCGUAGGCGGUCUGUUGCGUCCGCUGUGAAAACUCGGGGGCUUAACCCCGAGCCUGCAGUGGAUACGGGGCAGACUAGAGGUAGGUAGGGGGAGAAUGGAAUUCCCCGGUGUAGCGGUGAAAUGCGCAGAUAUCGGGGAGGAACACCGGUGGCGAAGGCGGUUCUCUGGGCCUU
rnacentral:rRNA from 1 species